rnacentral:rRNA from 1 species
UACGUAGGGUGCAAGCGUUGUCCGGAAUUAUUGGGCGUAAAGAGCUCGUAGGCGGUCUGUCACGUCGGCUGUGAAAUCCCGAGGCUCAACCUCGGGUCUGCAGUCGAUACGGGCAAACUAGAGUAUUGCAGGGGAGACUGGAAUUCCUGGUGUAGCGGUGAAAUGCGCAGAUAUCAGGAGGAACACCGAUGGCGAAGGCAGUGUCCUGGGGAGUACCUGACGCUCAGGUGCGAAAGCCAGGGGAGCGAACGGG